rnacentral:rRNA from 1 species
GAAUCUGAAACCGUGUGCUUACAACCGGUAGGAGGAAGUCCUGCCACUUAGGCGGGACGACUGACUGCGUGCCUUUUGCUUAAUGAGCCAACGAGUUACUCGUGCGUUGCAAGGUUAAGGGCCUCAGGUCCGGAGCCGUAGCGAAAGCGAGUCCGAAACGGGCGAGAUGAGUAACGCGCGGUAGACGCGAACCCGGGUGAUCUACCGAUGGCCAGGAUGAAGUGGGAGUAACAUCUCAUGGAGGUCCGAACCAGUGUGGGUUGAAAACCGCUUGGAUGAGCUGUCGGUAGGAGUGAAAGGCCAAUCAAACUCGGAAAUAGCUCGUACUCCCCGAAAUGUAUUUAGGUAUAGCCUCGCGUGAUGAGUGCCGGAGGUAGAGCACUGAUUGGGCUAGGGGCGCAAACAACGUUACCGAACCCUCUCAAACUCCGAAUGCCGCCGGUUGGUGCCUGGGAGUCAGACUGCGGGUGAUAAGAUCCGUAGUCGAAAGGGAAACAGCCCAGAUCGCCAGCUAAGGUCCCCAAAUGCCAGUUAACAGAGAAAGGAUGUUGAGUUGCUAAGACAACUAGGAUGUUGGCUUAGAAGCAGCCAUUCAUUUAAAGAGUGCGUAAUAGCUCACUAGUCAAGCGACUCGGCGUCGACAAUUAUCGGGACUCAAACUACUUACCGAAGCUGUGGGUCUCUGAGUAAUCGGAGACGGUAGAGGAACAUUCCAUUCAGCUGUGAAGGUGUGUCGUGAGACAUGCUGGAGCGGAUGGAAGAGCAAAUGUAGGCAUAAGUAACGAUAAUGGCGUUGAAAAAACGCCACGCCGAAAAUCUAAGGUUU